rnacentral:rRNA from 1 species
UAAUACCCGAUAUGCCGAGAGGUGAAAUGUUUUUUCGCCUGAGGAUGAACUCGCGUCUGAUUAGCUAGUUGGUGGGGUAACGGCCCACCAAGGCGACGAUCAGUAGCUGGUCUGAGAGGAUGAUCAGCCACACUGGGACUGAGACACGGCCCAGACUCCUACGGGAGGCAGCAGUGGGGAAUUUUCCGCAAUGGGCGAAAGCCUGACGGAGCAACGCCGCGUGAGGGAGGAAGGCCUUAGGGUUGUAAACCUCUUUUCUCAGGGAAGAAGACCUGACGGUACCUGAGGAAUCAGCCUCGGCUAACUCCGUGCCAGCAGCCGCGGUAAUACGGAGGAGGCAAGCGUUAUCCGGAAUUAUUGGGCGUAAAGCGUCCGCAGGCGGCUGAUUAAGUCUGUUGUUAAAGGCCACAGCUCAACUGUGGAGUGGCAGUGGAAACUGAUGAACUAGAGUGCGGUAGGGGUAAAGGGAAUUCCCGGUGUAGGGGUGAAAUGCGUAGAUAUUGGGAAGAACACCGGUGGCGAAGGCGCUCUACUGGACCUGCACUGACACUGAGGGACGAAAGCUAGGGGAGCGAAUGGGAUUAGAUACCCCAGUAGUCC